GCUGUACAGUUUUCGUAUUGUUUGGACAGGGAUGACUGGAUAAGAUAUAUCGGGCAUCUGCAGACUGCAGGCUACGAGCAAAGAAUGCCACUCGUGAAGUCGUGAUGUAGAGGUGAUUCCUUUGCCGUGGAAAAUAUCACAAGAGAUCUCGGGGAAGCGGAGCCUACAAAAACAAGUGGUUUGGGGUGCGCGUGGCGGUCAGUCAUCGGCCGUUCCGCCUCUUCCUGCUGCCGCUAGCCAGGUCUCACACCACACCACGUAUUCCACGGCGAGUUUUGGAUCUACUUUUAAGUUGCACAAGGCAGCUGGCCGAUAUGGCCGACCUCUGGAUGCAUUUCUUCGUUUCCUGACUUCUUUGUCCGUUUGCUCACCCGUGCAUGUUCGUGUCUUGGAGUUACCUGCCAUGUCGCAUGCGUCCAUCUCCAGCUACCGAACAUUCAGCGCUAUUCGCACCACACAGCUACAGGACGCAGUCAACGUAGAGUGGAUUAGUCAGGCCAUUUUCUUCUAUUACCACCCCACAGGGUACCAAUUUGUGGGGAAAAAAAUUGCAAACAAGUAUAUUUGCCAUGCCUAACAGGAAAAGACGGACACUGAGACUGACAGAGAAAGAAGAGCGGCAUACUGUACAGUGUACACCGGUCUUUGCAAAUUCGGAAUGCCCACCUGUAUUUACUCCGAAUUUUUAAUAUAAACAUUUUUGUAUUUA